rnacentral:rRNA from 1 species
UUUAACUGAAGAGUUUGAUCAUGGCUCAGAUUGAACGCUGGCGGCAGGCUUAACACAUGCAAGUCGAGCGGAGAGAG